rnacentral:rRNA from 1 species
AGCGUUGUUCGGAAUUACUGGGCGUAAAGCGCACGUAGGCGGAUUGCUAAGUCAGGGGUGAAAUCCUGGAGCUCAACUCCAGAACUGCCCUUGAUACUGGCAACCUCGAGUCCGGGAGAGGUGAGUGGAACUGCGAGUGUAG